UACGUAGGGUGCGAGCGUUGUCCGGAAUUAUUGGGCGUAAAGAGCUUGUAGGCGGUCUGUCGCGUCUGCUGUGAAAAUCCGGGGCUCAACCCCGGACUUGCAGUGGGUACGGGCAGACUAGAGUGUGGUAGGGGAGACUGGAAUUCCCGGUGUAGCGGUGAAAUGCGCAGAUAUCGGGAAGAACACCCGUGGCGAAGGCGGCUCUCUGGGACGGUACUGACGCUGAGACGCGAAAGCGUGGGGAGCGAACAGG
rnacentral:rRNA from 1 species